rnacentral:rRNA from 1 species
AUUGAACGCUGGCGGCAUGCUUUACACAUGCAAGUCGAACGGUAACAGACCGCAAGGUGCUGACGAGUGGCGAACGGGUGAGUAACGCAUCGGAACGUGCCCAGUCGUGGGGGAUAACGCAGCGAAAGCUGUGCUAAUACCGCAUACGAUCUAUGGAUGAAAGCGGGGGACCGUAAGGCCUCGCGCGAUUGGAGCGGCCGAUGUCAGAUUAGGUAGUUGGUGGGGUAAAGGCCCACCAAGCCAACGAUCUGUAGCUGGUCUGAGAGGACGACCAGCCACACUGGGACUGAGACACGGGCCAGACUCCUACGGGAGGCAGCAGUGGGGAAUUUUGGACAAUGGGCGCAAGCCUGAUCCAGCAAUGCCGCGUGCAGGAAGAAGGCCUUCGGGUUGUAAACUGCUUUUGUACGGAACGAAACGGUCUGGGUUAAUACCCUGGGCUAAUGACGGUACCGUAAGAAUAAGCACCGGCUAACUACGUGCCAGCCGCCGCGGUAAAAC